AGAGACAGCAGCAGCCGCGGUAAUACGAAGGGGGCUAGCGUUGCUCGGAAUGACUGGGCGUAAAGGGCGCGUAGGCGGAUCGUUUAGUUAGGCGUGAAAUUCCUGGGCUUAACCUGGGGACUGCGCUUAAUACAGGCAGUCUAGAGUGAGGAAGAGGGUUGUGGAAUUCCCAGUGUAGAGGUGAAAUUCGUAGAUAUUGGGAAGAACACCGGUGGCGAAGGCGGCAACCUGGUCCUUGACUGACGCUGAGGCGCGAAAGCGUGGGAGCAAACAGGAUUAGAUACCCCUGUAGUCCCUGUCUCUUAUACA
rnacentral:rRNA from 1 species